AAUCUGUGUGCUUCCAUGACUCUUGAAAGCGUUGCCUUGGCAACUAACCUGAAACCUUGAAAGGGACUGUGGUAUCAUUAAUAGAUAAUUAGUCAAAGGAUAACGAUCAAUGGCUCUUCACUGGAGUUUUCAUAGAGGCGCUUUUAGGUUUGUCUGUUAAUAUUGUGGUUGACAGAAGCUUAUAUCAUUGUGAGUUGCGUGGAGCAGUGGUAGUAUCCACCACAUGCUGCAGAUAACAACUCUCAUUGGCCAUGCUGGCUGGUGCUGAUGGGAGUUGUUGUCCCUACAUCUGGAAGGGACCAGUUGACUACCCCUGGUUUAGGUAAAGGUAAAGGUACCCCUGCCCGUACGGGCCAGUCGUGUCCGACUCUAGGGUUGUGCGCCCAUCUCACUUAAGAGGCCGGGGGCCAGCGCUGUCCAGAGACACUUCCGGAUCACGUGGCCAGCGUGACGAAGCUGCUCUGGCGAGCCAGCACCAGCGCAGCACACGGAAACGCCGUUUACCUUCCCGCUUUAAAGCGGUACCUAUUUAUCUACUUGCACUUAGGGGUGCUUUCGAACUGCUAGGUGGGCAGGAGCUGGGACCGAAAGACGGGAGCUCACCCCGCCGUGGGGAUUCGAACCGCCGACCAUGCAAUUGGCAAGCCCUAGGCGCUGAGGUUUUACCCACAGCGCCACCCGUGUCCCUACCCCUGGUUUAGAGGAAGCAUUUAUUUGGUGAACCCGUUUCACCAAAUUUAUCCAGGAGGAAGAGAAAUCCCUCCCACAGUUUUGUGUAGGUGGUAGGCCACCAUUCACAGUGGCAUAGCUUCCUGGUUUUCUUAUUUAUUUAUAUAUAUUUUUGGUGCUGCCACAAGUCUGCUGUCCCCCGUCACAAUAUCCCAGGGGUAGUGCCCUCCUCAAAGCAUUUUGUGUUUGUGUGAAAUAGGAACUGCAACAACAAAAACAAACCCAAAUAUUAAAAAUUGUGGUGAAUAUUUGGAGAAAGCAGCCUUAUUUUUUCUAGGGAAAGGAGAGAAGCACAGAUUCAUAGAGUCAGAAGGACCCCAAGAGUCGUCUAGUCCAACCCCUUGCAAUGCAGGAAUCACAGCAACAUUGUGGUCCUGACUGGUGGUCAUCCAACCUCUUUUCUAAACAUUCCAAUGAAGGAGAUUGAACAGCUCUUCCCAUAAGGAAGUUCUUCCCAAUGUUUUGUCAAAAUCUCCUUUCUUGUCAGUGGUUUAGGUCCUGCGCUCCAGAGCAGCAUAAAACAAGCUUGUCUCCAUGCCUUCUGAGUCAUUUUGACAAUGCCGCAAUACUUCCUGUUUCCGGCGGUGGAAAAUGGCUGAUCCCACACAAUCGGACUUUAGCCGUUCCGAUAAUUCAGGGCUGAUAUGGGGGUAAUUAGCCCUGGCAGCCUCCCCAGGGCAGGGGAGGACUGUCUCAAUGACCCGCGGUCUGCCCCAGAUUGCCGAUGUGGCAGACGGCAGGGGCACUGGGUCACGGAGCUAGGGACGGCUGACACUCCUGCGAUGCCACCCCAUAGCCGGACGCAUCUGUUUGGGAAAAUAUAAAGAUUUGGAAAACAAACAGACACGCUCUGAAUUGAAGAAGCUGGAAAAAACCUGCAGUAUGUACAGUCUCUGGUGCAAAAGAUCGAACUUCAAAGAGAUCCUCAUCAUGACGUUUGGAAUGUGGAGGGGCUUGGUAUGUAAAAAAACAUUCUUUUAUCCUUAACAUCAACAAUCCGUAAUGCAUGCCAAGUCUCAUUAAGAACUUAAAUUGCUCUUCAAAAAGUGAGUUCAGAUGGACUUUCAUAUAUAAUUGGGAUCUACUCGCAGCCACUUCUCUUCUAAGACCGGAAAUGUCUGUUAAAGACGAAAACAAAGGACAAAGGACAAAAUGGCGUCUCCCACCACGUUGUUAUUGAAUAUCUGAAAUACUUCCCUGAUUAAGAGAAACAGGAGCUAACGGAUGGUUGGUUAUAAAGACUGGAAACAAUAUUACAUAUACAACUGUUUGCAAAAAGAUGUUUUUUUGAUUACGAGCGAGAGAGAGAGGGCUAAAUGGAUGUCUGGCAGCCCCCCUCUAGGGCCCAGAAGGGGGAAUGGGAAGAUUCCAAAGGCUAUUACUAACUGUCUGAUAUAUGGCUACAUUGCAAACAGUCUGUUUAAGAUAAAUCAACAAGGAGGGUACAGAAGGAAAUUUCUCUCUGUUUCUUUGAUAACACCUGGACGGGAAAGAUUAACGAUCUGGGAGCUGCCAAAAUAACAACUCUCAAAGAGCUGGACAGAACUUUGAAAUUGGAUACAAUUAAAUGAAUCGGUGUGAUGAAAAAACAGCUCAAGGAGUACAAUAUACGGACAAAUCUGCACUCCAUAGGAAAAAAAAGUAUCGGUUUUCUGACAUGAGUGAGGAUCGUAGAACCAGAGUCAAAAUGUGGAAGGGAAAAAUCGGACAUGGAAUUAUGAAUAACAUUGAGGUUGAUGAGAGGCAGGACUAUGAUGUUGAAUGCGCUUCGAAAUUCAGACCGUGGGAAGUCAAAACAAAAUUAUUACAAUUUGGAAGACAAUUGGAC
rnacentral:lncRNA from 1 species